rnacentral:lncRNA from 1 species
AACAAACUUCAUUCACUUGGGAUCAAAUUUGUGAUUCUGCUGUCAGAUAAAGAAAGAAACUGGCUGUCUCAAAAUUUAAAAAAAGAAAAGAAAAAGGUCUGGAGGUGUAGAGCCUCUCAGUUCCAUCCCCUGUACCACAGAACAAACAAACAACAAAAAACAAUAGAAAGUACUAAUGAUAGAACUACUUCCCCCCAACUCCUUUUGUCAAUACAAAUCUGUUACUUGACAGACUCACUCCUGGGUCAUGUUUCCUCUUCUUCUUCUUUUCUUUUUUUUUUUUUUUUUUUUUUUUGAAUAAAAUUACUAGAUGGAGAGGAAGGAAAAUAUGCAGGUCUUUUUGCAGUCCAUGUUUUUGCUCUAAGUGGUAUAAGUAUCUAUCAGAAUAACUCCUCAUGUUAAGAAUUGACUCAACUGUAUUUGCUUAGAAAGGUUAACUUUUAAAUGGAGUUUAAGAGGAUAGCAAAUCUCUAGUUGUUUUACCAUGAAUUUUCAAACAAAGAAAUUUGGAACAAGACAGUUGAAGAAAAAUUCCCCUCUCUUCCUCUUGCUGUACCACUGCCCACUGUCACCCUACAAUGACAAUUUAUGAGUGCCCUUCACUGAAAACAGGUCCAGACCUUCCUUAAACAAAAGACAAUUGCCAUGGGCAUUUUCACCAGCAAUUUUUUGUGCUCAAAAUUUCUAUAGAUUCAUUAAUUGUAAGCACAAAAGGGAUGACCAAACCUGAAAACAACAGUUCCUUUGUCCUCUGACCUUAUUUUUUUUUUCAGGCAAUCUACUUCCCUGAACUAUCAUUUACUUUAGUGACCACACCUUUGAACAACAGUUUAUCAAAGCAACAUACUACUCCCAUAGAACAGGAAAAUUUUCUGAUAGUAUAUAGAAAUCGUAACAAAGUUAGGGAGCAAUUACAAUCUUUGGAGUCAAACACAAAGGGAAAAGUCAUGUAAAAGAAGUUAAUCCCAGUUGAAUAAUUAUUCAUAACAGAAGCCUUUCCAUAAGUGCACAUUUUCCCAUAGGCUGUUGUGUAGAGUUAGACUCAGCUACAAGUUUCAAAUUCAAAAGUAUGACAACCUUUGAAAUACAUACACUAUACAAAAUAAUCUUUUAAAAUGAAAUAUAGUUAAGCAUACAGGAUAGCUCCAGACCAGGCUCUGCAUGUUUAUCAUCAAAGUGGACUCUCCCUGCACAAGCAAGCGGUAUUUAUCCAGAAAAAUCAGUGUUUUCUAUACAAUAUAGCAUGUGUUAAGUGAGUGACUAGAAUUAAAAGUAUUUUGAUCCAUUUUUCUUUCUCAAAAACAUAGUUUUCUGUAUUCAUGGAAAAUAUCUUGAAUUUUAUGAAAAACCUAAAUUAGUAGGAGAAAAACUUUUCGCUGAAUGAGUAAUUCCCAUAAAUCCUGUUCAUUUAAGGCAGUAUUUUAUUUAAAGUUAAUGAUAGUAGGUUAAUAUUUAAGCUCUAAAGUUGAGUUCUAAGGUUUUUUUUCCUGUUUUAUUUUAAGUAGAUUCUAGAAAUCUAUUUACUUAUAAGACUAUAUUCAAGGCCAGGGAUACAGCCCAGUGGCACAAGUGCCUGCCUGGCAAGUACAAGGUCCUAAGUUUGAUUCCCAGUACCAAAAAAAAAAAAAAGAGACUAUAUUCAGUCCUAAAAUGCAUCUAUGGCUUUGUUCAUAUGGCUAAAGACAGUAAUUUUAUUUUUACCAUGAAUUCAAAUAACAUUACUAACUAGUUUCUACAUUUAAUUUGCUCUGACAAAUACCCUAUUUAUCAGACAAAAUAAUAACAGAAAAC